UAUACGAUGAAGAGUUUGAUCCUGGCUCAGGAUGAACGCUAGCGGCAGGCUUAACACAUGCAAGUCGAGGGGUAUAGGUUUUCGGACCUAGAGACCGGCGCACGGGUGCGUAACGCGUAUGCAUACGACCUUUCCGAGAGGGAUAGCCCAGAGAAAUUUUGAUUAA
rnacentral:rRNA from 1 species